UACGGGAGGCAGCAGUGGGGAAUAUUGCACAAUGGGCGAAAGCCUGAUGCAGCUAUGCCGCGUGUAUGAAGAAGGCCUUAGGGCUGUAAAGUACUUUCAUCGGGGAGGAAAACAAAACUAAUAAUUUUAUUUCUUGACGUUACCCGAAAAAGAAGCACCGGCUAACUCCGUGCCAGCAGCCGCGGUAAUACGGAGGGUGCUAGCGUUAAUCAGAAUUACUGGGCGUAAAGAGCACGUAGGUUGGUUUUUUAAGUCAGAUGUGAAAUCCCUGGGCUUAACCUAGGAACUGCAUUUUGAAACUGAAAUACUAGAGUAUCGUAGAGGGAGGUAGAAUUCUAGGUGUAGCGGUGAAAUGCGUAGAUAUCUGGAGGAAUACCUGUGGCGAAAGCGGCCUCCUAAACGAAUACUGACACUGAGGUGCGAAAGCGUGGGGAGCAAACGAGGAUUAGAUACC
rnacentral:rRNA from 1 species